rnacentral:rRNA from 1 species
UACGUAGGGCGCGAGCGUUAAUCGGAAUUACUGGGCGUAAAGCGUGCGCAGGCGGUUCGUUGUGUCUGAUGUGAAAGCCCCGGGCUCAACCUGGGAAUGGCAUUGGAAACUGGCGAGCUAGAGUGUGGCAGAGGGGGGUGGAAUUCCGCGUGUAGCAGUGAAAUGCGUAGAGAUGCGGAGGAACACCGAUGGCGAAGGCAGCCCCCUGGGCUGACACUGACGCUCAGGCACGAAAGCGUGGGGAGCAAACAGG